rnacentral:piRNA from 1 species
UCCGAGACCCUUUUAAAACUGACU